ensembl:snoRNA SNORA63 Small nucleolar RNA SNORA63
AUGCAGGUAUGAUUACAACAUGACUGAAGUGUCUGCUGCUGUUCCUCCCUCAGAGCACUUGAUACAUUAUCAUGUCUGGUCAGCUCUGUGCUAUAGUAAGAGAGAAAUGCUUGGUUUCAAAAUU